rnacentral:tRNA from 1 species
GUAUCCGUGCAGGUCAGAGUCGGUGUGUAUACCGCCCUCCGGAGGCGGGAGCGCAGGUUCGAAUCCUGCCGGGGGCA